GACGUAGGGCGCGAGCGUUGUCCGGAUUUAUUGGGCGUAAAGAGCUCGUAGGCGGUCGGGUAAGUCUGAUGUGAAAUCUCACAGCUUAACUGUGAAACUGCAUUGGAUACUAUCCGGCUCGAGGAAUGGAGGGGAGACUGGAAUACUUGGUGUAGCAGUGAAAUGCGUAGAUAUCAAGUGGAACACCAGUGGCGAAGGCGAGUCUCUGGACAUUUCCUGACGCUGAGGCACGAAAGCCAGGGGAGCAAACGGG
rnacentral:rRNA from 1 species